AUUCUCUUAGUCACUCCGACUCUGGACAUCAACAAACCCGAAACCCCUCAAUGGCCCGGAUUGCUUAUGGAUAGAGGCGCAGCCAGUUUUGCUCUUGAAACUAGCAAAAUCUCUGAAGCCCAUGCCGCCGCAGAAGAAGAAGAAACACCUAAGAAGCUGGACACGCAUGGCAAACUUCUCUCGGAAACUGAGGACAUGAAGAAACCAGAAAGCUCUGAAUGUCCAGGACGGCAAAUAGAUGGAGGAUCAGGCUGGGGAAGCUCUGAAGAACCUUGUCCCAGAAAGCAUAAAGCCGGUGCGGCCGAAGAAACAUCUGAUGCGGCCGUAGGGGUUGGGACUAGCUAGCUUCUGUUGUCGUAGCCCGGUGGAUGUUUAUUUAAGUUUUUAUUUAUCAAAAUUUAAGUUCUUAUUUAUCAAAAUGUCUGCUAUAUUUAAGUUUGUACUUGUAUUUUGAACUUCAAACUCCGUUGUAGUAAUUUUAUGACUUCUCUUUUUAUUCUUGCAAUCUUUGGUUUUUCUUGUUGUUGUCUUCCUUCUGUUUAACCGCCAACAAACUCGGGCAUUGUUGUUUUUCUUCAAAUUCAUUUGCUACACCAUAAUCCCAGCAUCUUGUAAUCGGGGAAAGGAUUAUUCCCUUCUAAACCAUUUCCAACCUGAAUCCAAACAAGUGAUAUGCACUAAUACGACUGAAAUGUUAUAAAUUAAUUAAUUUAACCAAACAAAAUCGUUUAAGUUGAACUUAUGUUAGAGUCAAUGUAGAUUUAUGCACAUUCCAUAAAGUUCAGAUAGUUUAUUUGAAUUAUAAUCAUAUUAGAGUCGUAUUUAGCACAAACAUUAAGCAGGAUGGAAGUUGUUCGGUCAAAAUAAAUAUUUUCACUCUUGUAAGUUUAUAGUUGUUCUGAGAAGGUGCUAAUGUUGAAAUGGCUUGUCACAAAGCAUAACCAAACAUCCAUUCCUCAGAGACUUCCUCUUCCCUCCAACCUUAAAUCAUAAUCAGAUUCUACUUCUCUUACCAUGUGUUUAAUUGAUAAGCUUCCACAUUCUCAAAUCUUUCUUUUUCUGGGCAACAAUUCUAUGUUUGAUAUUUCUGAUUGGAAGAGAUAAAAUUUAUAGAUUUCCUCAGGAGUAGAAUAAACCUCGUUUGCUCCUUUCAAGUCCUUUUGAUGCAUCUGAAAUCUUGAAAAGACAUUUGCAAGCAUCUUUGUUGUCUUCACAAUCUUUCUUUGCUCUCAGUAAUAUUAGGAAAGGAUCAACCAGCUCUUCUUUUUUCAUGUCCUUUUUUAUGUACCUGGAAAUCUUGAAAAGACAUUUUUCGAUCAUGUUGUAUGUUGGUGCUCUUGGCUAAGUUGUUUCAGAACAUCAAAGGAGGAGGAGAUCUUGGAUUGGAAAAGGCAAGAAAGAAGUUCAUCAAGCACCCUAAGCCUCAAGAUUCGUCAACAGGAGGGGAGAUUGUGAAGUUUGAAGCUGAUGACUGGGAGAUAUUGUUAAUGUCUGGGGAAGAGAGUGAGAGCAAAAAGAACUUGAUGGCACAAAACACUGAGUUUUAGUCUAACAUUUUUAAUAUCAAAUCUUUGAAACUUUGUGAAUCCCCUAUACAUUAUUUGAUAAGUGGUUUUGACAAGUGUCUUUUUUACAUUCAUUAUCACUAAAAAAUAAUGACAUGGAUUUCAAAAAAAGAUGGCAUGACAUCAAUUUAAUUAUAUGUAAAAUAUCCUUAUAAAACAUUAUAAUUUUUGGAAAGACUUUUUAAAUAUGGUAUUAGCUAAUAAAUUUUACAUAAAAUAAACUUUAUGUAUAAAUAUUAUUUUAGUAAGAAUUUUGGAAUAUAUUAGUAACUAAUAUAUCAUAUAUCUCCAUUACAAUAAUAUAUAUACAUAUAUAUAUAUAUAACAUUAAUAAACAAAUAAACUAAAUAUAAGUACAUUGUAAAAAAAUUCACGUUAACUUAUAUAUCCAUUUUUUAUAAAUAAAUAAAUAUAUAUAUAUACAUAUAUUAAAAUUAAUUGUAAAUGUGCUUUAAAAUACAAAACUAAAGCAAUAUUAAUCAAAUAAAAAUUUAUUGAUAAUUAAUGUUUAAAUUUUUUUUUAGCAUUUAUUGGUUUAUUUAGGGUUUCCCCAAAAAAAAGGAAAAGAAUGCACACAGAUCCGUUCCGUUGAAAAUAUGUCAGCACCCUUGAUAUUUUCCUUUUUUAAAAAACAAAAAAUUGAGAUCCAAGAGAGAUAUAAAAACAUGCCCUCAUAGAUAUCUCAGCAAGCUGCAGCCUAGCUCUCUCAUCCGUCCGUGGAGAAAAGCAUUCAAAGCAAGAUCUAACCCCUAGCUAGAAGGAAGGUCUCUCCAAUUCUCAUCGUCAUCUCCGCAGAACCAUGGGCGAAGACGAUACCAUCGGUUUUGAGUCCUGUAAGAUCUCUCUCCAUCUAAAAUUGUUUUGUUAGAUUUCAUCUGAUUCGAUUAUAGGGGAAGUAAUGGUUUAUUUUUUCUAAUUUUUUCGUAAAUUCGUUUGUGUGUAGUGAAGCAGACGCUCGUGUACUGGAACAUGGAUGACUACCCAAUCCCUGUAGAUACUACCGAUGAGCUUGAUCCUGUUUUUGGUGAUAUCUUAAAAGCUCUUGAUGUAAUGGGCUUUCGUAAUGGGCAUAUAGACGUGUAUCUGUAUUCUGAGCAAAUCAACAGGGAGGAGGCUGUAGUCGACUGGACUUUACCCGAAAGUAAAUUCCUCACUCUCCUUUGCUCGUCAUCGUUUCUAUUUUAAAUUAUAUAUAUAUAUAUAUUGUAAUCGGACUUGUUUCUCUGUUGUUGUUUGUAGGCGAAUCUUACGGCGCUUGUGUUUACAAAGUGCCGGAUAUCACUUUGUAUAUGAUUCGUCACGCAUCGUGUAUUGGACCAGGACCAGUGAAUUUUUUUGUAAUUGCAAAACCAAAAAGGGAGUUACAUAGGGUUCUGCACUGUUUGCAAUCAAGGCGUCACAAUGUUCUUCUAGUAAAGCCGCCGCCUCCUGAUGAAGAAUUUCUCUUUAGUGUAGCCUCUCUACUUGAGAAUGCUCGAUUUUUAGGUGGAGGAAAGCCUAGAUUCAAAGAAUUAUAUGCUUCUUAUGCGCUUGAGUAUGAUAUGUGCUUUGAAGAGUAUGUAGACAUCCCAGAAGAUCUCUCCAGGACGGUAGAUUUCUCCGGUAAGACCCCAAAUUGUUUCUAGAUUUUUCUAUUUUUGAAAAUUUAUUAUAAAUGGUAUUUUAUUUAACCUCUCUUUAUUGCAUGUAUGUAUGGCUCAGAGCGUAUCCCAACCGUCAGAGGGCCUAGGACAGCCGUCUUCUGGGACGCCGUGGAUUGCCCUUUCCCUCCUUCUUCCACCCCUGAUGAGAUCUACCACUCUAUCUCAUCAGCUCUUGUUGAAAGGUAUCUUAGUGAUAAUAUUACUAUCUGGGCCUAUCUUGAUGAUGAUGACAAGAAAGGGUCUGCCUUACUGGGUGGUGACAAGACGUGGGCUUCCAGAAUCUACUUUCUUCCCGGAGGUGUGAUCAUUUCCCCCUCUCUUUUUCUUCUCUCACUUGCAUUUGUUAAUAUUUAUUUAUUUGAUUUUUUUUUUUCCUUUUUCCAGGGGAUAAAGCCUCGAGACGUAUCAGAAUGUUAAAUGACAUGUUUUUAUUGGCAAGGGACUCUCCUCAGUGCAGUAAUUAUGAAGCUAGUUUGGUCCUGUUCGCAAAUCAGUUCAUAGGUGCCGGCUACUACAUCGAUAUGCUUCAAAGAUUGGAUGCCAUUCGUUACCAUAUUCUCUUAGUCACUCCGACUCUGGACAUCAACAAACCCGAAACCCCUCAAUGGCCCGGAUUGCUUUUAGAUAGAGGCGCAGCCAGUUUUGCUCUUGAAACUAGCAAAAUCUCUGAAGAACCUCCUAGCCCCAAAAAGCAUGAAGCCCUUGCCGCCGCUGAAGAAGAAGAAACACCUAAGAAGCUGGACACGCAUGGCAAACUUCUCUUGGAAACUGAGGACAUGAAGAAACAACAAAGCCAUGAAUGUCCAGGACGGCAAAUAGAUGGAGGAUCAGGCUGGGGAAGCUCUGAAGAACCUUAUCUCAAAAAGCAUAAAGCCGGUGUGGCCGAAUAAACAUCUGAUGCGGCCGACGAAACACCGUAGGGGUUGGGACUAGCUAGCUUCUGUUGUCGUAGCCCCGUGGAUGUUUAUUUAAGCUUUUAUUUAUCAGUAUUUAAAUUUUUAUUUAUCAAAAACUCUGCUAUAUUUAAGUUUGUACUUGUAUUUUGAACUUCAAACUCUGUUGUAGUAAUUUUAUGACUUCUCUUUUUAUUCAUGCAAUCUUUGGUUUUUCUUAUUGUUGUCUUCCUUCUGUUUAACCGCCAACAAACUCGGGCAUUGCUGUUUUUCUUCAAAAUCAUGUGCUACACCAUAAUCCCAGCAUCUUGUAAUCGGGGAAAGGAUUAUUCCCUUCUAAACCAUUUCCAACCUGAAUCCAAACAAGUGAUAUGCACUUUUUUUUUGUCACAAAUUUCAUUAAUUUAAAUCUAAAAGGUCUCAACGAUUACAAACCGGAGUAGUUUCGACGGUACAAUGAACAAAAGAAGAAGCAGUAAAGCAAUAACACAUGAGAUAGAAGUGUUUAAAGGAGAGGCUUGCUCAAAGUAGAGAGAUCGGCAAAAAAAUCUUCACUUGAAUCCUUGAAACCACAGCCCGGAAGAGCUUCAAAUAGUCUGAGACGACGUUGAAAUACCCUAGUGAAAGGGAUUUGGAGGAGUUCAAUACUGGCUUGAACACCAAAAAAGAUUCACCUCUCGUGGAGAGGGAUGCAGGAGAGUCUAUCUCAACCGCAAUAGUAUCAAAAGGCCUUAAUUGCCUGGAUUUAUCAUUGAAACGCACACGAACAGCUCUAAAAACUGCAAGACUUACCCAAGAGACUAGGUGAAUCUCUAACUCUAGCUUCACUUUCGAAGAGCUUAGGACAAUGGAGUUUGGUGACGAAGUAUACGGUUUAAUCGGGUCAGAAGCUCGGACCUUGACAUUACCGUGUCUAGGCCAACUUAUUGUAACCGGAAGAAACUUGAGCAAACUGUCAUCGUACUCGUUUCCGUUGAGCGUGAGUGAGUAAGCAUCGGAUAAGAGGCAGUGAGAUUUGGAAUAGUCGGGUUGAAGCCUUAACUGCUUGGAUAUUGAAAUAAGGUUUCGAUGAGAUGCAGUAAGAGGAGACUCAAAGGAUAUGCGAUCCUUCACAAAAGAGCUCCCGAUUAGGGUUUCACCAGAGUCGGAGUGGAAGCUAAGGCCGCCGUGAGAGGAAGAUGAACCAUCGACUGAUGGGGCAUUGCGUUCACCGGAGCAUACCAGAACCAUAGCGGUGCUUGACGAAGGAGAUACAUGUACGAUGGAGAGGAAAGCUCCUCCUCCGGUGAGACAGAUCUGAAUUGUCUCUGUUCUUGACCCACGGUAGUAGAUCUCGUGGAAGAAACAUGAUGCCCUAAAUCCGGAGGUGGAGAUGGAGGGAAGUGAAAUAGGUGGGGAGGAGUGAGGCGGCGUCUGGUGAAGAUCUCGAAGAGAGGAUGAAGACGGUGGCUUUGAUUGGGAUGUAACCAUUGGGUCCGGUGGGUCAGGUGGAUCUGGAGGAUCUCGUGGGUGAAGAGGAUUUAACAGCACCGAAGCAAACAUCCACCGACGGCAAGCGAGAGAGAAGACCAGAUCCUGGUUCAUCGGCGCGGAGGGAGGUAGCGGGAGCAGAGCCAUCGGAAAAACUCAAACGAACUCGACGUCGGUGAAAGGAGCACAAUCGUUGGCCAGAGACAAGGACGAGGAGGAGCUUCAACUAGGAAGAGAACGCACCAACCGUGCCGGAGAAACAACGGUAGAACGAGCUCAUUUUUGUCGUUGCGGCUUCCUUGGUUUCCGUGUCUGAGAGAGAAGCUUCUCACAUCACAUGAUUCUCUAUAACAAGUGAUAUGCACUAAUACGACUGAAAUGUUAUAAAUUAAUUACUUUAACCAAACAACAUCGUUUAAGUUGAACUUAUGUUAGAGUCAUUGUAGAUUUAAUUCCAUGAAGUUCAGAUAGUUUAUUUGAAUUAUAAUCAUAUUAGAGUCGUAUUUAGCACAAACAUUUAGCAGGAUGGAAGUUGUUCGGUCAAAUAAAUAUUUUCACUCUUGUAAGUUUAUAGUUGUUCUGAGAAGGUGCUAAUGUUGAAAUGGCUUGUCACAAAGCAUAAACAAACAUCCAUUCCUCAGAGACUUCCUCUUCCCUCCAACCUUAAAUCAUAAUCAGAUUCUACUUCUCUUACCAUGUGUUUAAUAGAUAAGCUUCCACAUUCUCAAAUCUUUCUUUUUCUGGGCAACAAUUCUAUGUUUGAUAUUUCUGAUUGGAAGAGAUAAAAUUUAUGGAUUUCCUUAGGAGUAGAAUAUACCUCGUUUGCUCCUUUCAAGUCCUUUUGAUGCAUCUGAAAUCUUGAAAAGACAUUUGCAAGCAUCUUUGUUGUCUUCGCAAUCUUUCUUUGCUCUCAGUAAUAUUAGGAAAGGAUCAACCAGCUCUUCUUUUUUCAUGUCCUUUUUUAUGUACCUGGAAAUCUUGAAAAGACAUUUUUCGAUCAUGUUGUAUGUUGGUGCUCUUGGCUAAGUUGUUUCAGAACAUCAAAGGAGGAGGAGAUCUUGGAUUGGAAAAGGCAAGAAAGAAGUUCAUCAAGCACCCUAAGCCUCAAGAUUCGUCAACAGGAGGGGAGAUUGUGAAGUUUGAAGCUGAUGACUGGGAGAUAUUGUUAAUGUCUGGGGAAGAGAGUGAGAGCAAAAAGAACUUGAUGGCACAAAACACUGAGUUUUAGUCUAACAUUUUUAAUAUCAAAUCUUUGAAGCUUUGUGAAUCCCCUAUACACUAUUUGAUAAGUGGUUUGACAAGUGUCUUUUUUACAUUCAUUAUCACUAAAAAAUAAUGACAUGGAUUUAAAAAAAAAUGGCAUGACAUCAAUUUAAUUAUAUGUAAAAUUUCCUUAUAAAACAUUAUAAUUUUUGGAAAGACUUUUUAAAUAUGGUAUGCUAAUAAAUUUUACAUAAAAUAAAUUUUAUGUAUAAAUAUUAUUUUAGUAAGAAUUUUAAUAUAUUAGUAACUAAUAUAUCAUAUAUCACCAUUACAAUAAUAUAUAUAUAUAUAUAACAUUAAUAAACAAAUAAACUAAAUAUAAGUACAUUGUAAAAAAAAUCACGUUAACUUAUAUAUCCAUUUUUUAUAAAUAAAUAAAUAUAUAUAUAUACAUAUAUUAAAAUUAAUUGUAAAUGUGCUUUAAAAUACAAAACUAAAGCAAUAUUAAUCAAAUAAAAAUUUAUUGAUAAUUAAUGUUUAAAUUUUUUUUUAGCAUUUAUUGGUUUAUUUAGGGUUUCCCCAAAAAAAACGAAAAGAAUGCACACAGAUCCGUUCCGUUGAAAAUAUGUCAGCACCCUUGAUAUUUUCCUUUUUUAAAAAACAAAAAAUUGAGAUCCAAGAGAGAUAUAAAAACAUGCCCUCAUAGAUAUCUCAGCAAGCUGCAGCCUAGCUCUCUCAUCCGUCCGUGGAGAAAAGCAUUCAAAGCAAGAUCUAACCCCUAGCUAGAAGGAAGGUCUCUCCAAUUCUCAUCGUCAUCUCCGCAGAACCAUGGGCGAAGACGAUACCAUCGGUUUUGAGUCCUGUAAGAUCUCUCUCCAUCUAAAAUUGUUUUGUUAGAUUUCAUCUGAUUCGAUUAUAGGGGAAGUAAUGGUUUAUUUUUUCUAAUUUUUUCGUAAAUUCGUUUGUGUGUAGUGAAGCAGACGCUCGUGUACUGGAACAUGGAUGACUACCCAAUCCCUGUAGAUACUACAGAUGAGCUUGAUCCUGUUUUCGGUGAUAUCUUAAAAGCUCUUGAUGUAAUGGGCUUUCGUGAUGGGCAUAUAGACGUGUUUCUGUAUGAUGAGCAAAUCAACAGGGAGGGGGCUCUAGUCGACUGGACUUUACCCGAAAGUAAAUUCCUCACUCUCCUUUGCUCGUCAUCGUUUCUAUUUUAAAUUAUAUUUAUAAUGUAAUCGGACUUGUUUCUCUGUUGUUGUUUGUAGGCGAAACUUACGGCGCUUGUUUUUACAAAGUGCCGGAUAUCACUUGGUAUAUGAUUCGUGACUCAUCAUUUUACAGAGCAGGACCAGUAAAUUAUUUUGUAAUUGCAAAACCAAAAAGGGAGUUACAUAGGGUUCUGCACUGUUUGCAAUCAAGGCGUCACAAUGUUCUUCUAGUAAAGCCGCCGCCCCCUGAUGAAGAAUUUCUCUUUAGUGUAGCCUCUCUACUUGAGAAUGCUCGAUUUUUAGGUGGAGGAAAGCCUAGAUUCAAAGAAUUAUAUGUUUCUUAUGCGUCUGAGUAUGAUAUGUGCUUUGAAGAGUAUGUAGACAUCCCAGAAGAUCUCUCCAAGACGGUAGAUUUCUCCGGUAAGACCCCAAAUUGUUUCUAGAUUUUUCUAUUUUUUGAAAAUUUAUUAUAAAAUGGUAUUUUAUUUAACCUCUCUUUAUUGCAUGUAUGUAUGGCUCAGAGCGUAUCCCAACCGUCAGAGGGCCUAGGACAGCCGUCUUCUGGGACGCCGUCGAUUGCCCUUUCCCUCCUUCUUCCUCUCCUGAUGAGAUCUACCACUCUAUCUCAUCAGCUCUUGUUGAAAGGUAUCUUAGUGAUAAUAUUACUAUCUGGGCCUAUCUUGAUGAUGAUGAUGAUGACAAGAAAGGGUCUGCCUUACUGGGUGGUGACAAGACGUGGACUUCCAGAAUCUACUUUCUUCCCGGAGGUGUGAUCAUUUCCCCCUCUCUUUUUUUUUUCCCGUCUUUAUAUGUUACUCUCACUUGCAUUUUAUUUGAUUUUUUUUUUUUUCCUUUUUCCAGGGGAUAAAGCCUCGAGACGUAUCAGAAUGUUAAAUGACAUGUUUUUAUUGGCAAGGGACUCUCCUCAGUGCAGUAGUUAUGACGCUAGUUUGGUCCUGUUCGCAGAUCAGUUCAUAGGUGCCGCCUACUACAUCAAUAUGCUUCAAAGAUUGGAUGACAUUCGUUACCAUAUUCUCUUAGUCACUCCGACUCUGGACAUCAACAAACCCGAAACCCCUCAAUGGCCUGGAUUGCUUAUAGAUAGAGGCGCAGCCACUUUUGCUCUUGAAACUUGCAAAAUCUCUGAAGAACCUCCUAGCCCCAAAAAGCAUGAAGCCCUUGCCGCCGCUGAAGAAGAAGAAACACGUAAGACGCUUCAAAUGAUAUGAGUGCCAUGAGUGACUUCUUUGAUCCACUUCGUUUUUACAAGUGUGUUUUUGCUUAACUUUUAGUUAAUUGGCAUAUAUUCAAUUGUGUAAGUUUUUGUGUAGAAUCUCAGCUUGAUAAUGCACAACUUUUAGGUGGAGGCAUGAGGAGGAUUACGAAUGCAUGUUUGGACAGGGAUUUCAAAUCUUUUUAGGGUUUCCCGAGAAAAAAAAGGAAAAGCAUGCUACUUCGGUUGAAAAUAUGUCAACACCCUUGAUAUUUUCCUUUCUAAAAACAUGCCCUCUCUCAUCCGUAAUGAAUUAAGGAUAUUUUCUUAAAUAGAAAAGGAAAUCCAAGUUUUGAAAUUUUUAUAAAUAUGGAUGUAAUGGAUUGUAAAUUGUUCGUUCACAUAAUCCAUAUACAAAUUCUAAACAGAUAUUUGUUUCAAUAGCUUUUUGCUUUAUUAAGUUUCUUUUGAUUUUUUUUCAAAGUUAAUAUAACUUUGUUGUUCAUUCACAAAAAAAACCUAACUCCUAACUUAGCUAGAACACCAUGGGCGAAGACGAGGCCAUCGAUUUUGAGUCCUGUAAGAUCUCUUUCCAUCUCUUACCCCCUAAAUUGUUUGUUAGAUUUCAUCUGAUCGAUUAUAGCGAAAUGAUGUUCUUUUUUUUUUAAUUUUCCGUAGUGAAGCAGACACUGGUGUUCUGGAACAUAGAUGACUACCCAAUCCCUGUAGAUGCUACCAAUAAUCUUGGUCCUAUUUUUGGUGAUAUCUCAAAAGCUCUUCAUCUAAUGGGCUUUCGUGAUGGGCAUAUGACUGUGUGGCUGUAUUCUGAGCAACUGAACUACGACAGAAAAGAGGUGGGCGAGGCAGAAGUAAUCUACCACUACUUACCCCAAAGUGAGUUUCCUCACAACAACACUCUCUUUUGCUCGUCAUUUCUUUUUUUAAUUACAUAUGUAAUGAUCUGAGUUCUUUUCUCUGUUUGAUAUAUAUAGGUAUGUCUUAUUCAGCUGCACUUUACAAAGUGCCGGCCAUGACUUUGUAUAUGAUUCAGUACGCAUCAAAUAUUGGACCAGGACCUGUAAAUCUUUUGGUAAUCGCAAAACCAAAAAGGGAGUUACAUAGGGUUCUGCAGUGUUUGAAAUCGAGGCGUCACAAUGUUCUUAUAGUCGAGCCACCGCCGCCUGAUGAAAAAUUUCUCUUUAGUGUAGACUCUCUACUUGAGAAUGCACGAUUUUUAGGUGGAGGAAAGCCUAGAUUCAAAGCUUUAUUAAGUCAUUAUGCGCUUGAGUAUGAUACCUCCCAAGACUAUUAUGUAAAGAUCAAAGAAGAUGUCUCCAAGACGGUAGAUUUCUCUGGUAAGUCAUUGUUUGUUUUAGAUUUCAUCCAUUCAUAAUAAUAUUAUUACAAAUGGUAUUUAUUUAACCUCUCUCUCUCUCUAUCUAUUGCAUGGAUGGCUCAGAGCGUAUCCCAACCGUCAAAGGGGUUAGGACAGCCGUCUUCUGGGAUGCCGUGGAUUGCCCAUUCCCUCUUUCUUCCACCCCUGAUGAGAUCUACCACUCUAUCGCAUCAGCUCUUGUGGCAAAGGGUUUUAGUGCUAGGAUUAAAAUCUGGGCCUAUCUUGAUGACGACAAGAAAGGGUCUUGGAGGGAUGUGUUACUGGGUGACAAGACGUGGGCUUCCAGAAUCUACUUCCUUCCCGGAGGUGAAAUUUCCCCUCUUUUUCUUUAUAUAUCUACUUUGUAAUCUUUACCUCUCACUUCCGUUUGAUAAUAGUAUUUAUUUAUUUAUUUUUCCUUUUCUAGGGGAUAAAGCCUCGAGACGUAUCAGAAUGCUAAAUGACAUGUAUUUAUGGGAAAGGGACUCUUCUAGGUCGACCAGGUCUUAUGAAGCAAGUUUGGUCCUGUUCGCAGAUCAGUUCAAAGAUGACGCCUACUACGUCCACAUGCUUCAAAAAUUGUUGAAUGACAGACGUUGCGAUCUUGUCUUAGUCAAUCCGACUCUGGACAUCAACAAACCAGAAACCCCCGAAUGGCCGGGAUUGCUAUUAGAUAAAGGAGCAUCCUGGUUUGCUGACGAAACAAGCGAAAUCUCUGAAGAACCUAGCCCCCAAAAGCAUGAAGCCGAAGAAGAAAUACCUGAGAAGCUUCCAGUUAUGAGUGACAUGGAUUAUUGUCGUUUUGGGGAUUAAACAAGCGAAAGCUCUGAAGAUGAGGACAUGAACAAACCAGAAAGCCGUGAAUGGCCACCAGGAUUGCUAAUAGAGGGAGGAUCAGGCGUGGAAAGCUCUGAGGAACCUUGUCCCGAAAAGCAUAAAGCCGAUGCCGCCGAAGAAGAAGAAACACCUGAGAAGCUUCCCGUGUAUCGCUGGGAUCCUAUUACUCUGAUGUACAAACUAAAAAGCCUUGGAUGAACAGGCUGUGAAAGCUCUGAAGAACCUUGUCCCAAAAAGCGUGAAGCCGAUGCGGCGGCCGAAGUAGAAACACCAGAAGCUUCAAAUUAUAUGACAAUGAGUGACUUCUUUGAUCCACUUUAUUUUUCCAAGCGUCUUUUUUUACUUCACUUUUAGUUAAUUGGCAUAUAUUCAAUUGUGUAAGGUUAGCUAUUUUACUCAACUGCCUAUGUGCUGUUGGCUAUAAUAUUGUUGAAUGGAAUAUAGCUCUGUUUCUAAAUCUAUCGGACUAAGAAUAGGAUUUGAUUGUUUUUUCUUAUGAUUCAUGAAAUUAGGGUAAAUAAGAUGUGAUUCUUAGUUGUUUUCUGGUUUCAACAACUCAUUAUUCUUUGCUAAAUCCAUCUUCAGAAACUAGGAUGUACGAGCUUUCUAGUGUGUGAGGAAUUCUUUAACGUUAGGUUUCUGUACUAAUUGUAUUUCGUCAUAAUCCUCUUGUGUUUCAUCAGGGAUUCCCUUCUUGGGAAAAGGAAGCUAAAACUUUUUCAGCAUAUGAGUAACAAACUUGAUUUAAAAUUGUUGUCAACUCAGCCUUGUUUAUUUUUUGCCUUGGCUGACUUGACCUAGUUUUACCCUUUUGUAGUUUACAAAUUCAUCUCAUAAUAUAUGAAAUUCACAUUUUGGUAAAAAUAAUAAUAAUAAUAAUAAUAAUCAACAUUAUAAUGAGCCAGUUUCAAGGCUCCUCAGCGCGCUACGUCAACAUUAUAAUGAGCCAGUUUCAAGGCUCCUCAGCGCGCCACGUCAGCAUUUUGUGGGUCCCACCUUUAAAAAAAGUGAAAAAAUGUCAAGCCCAUAACUCGAACCCGGGUUAUUAACAUAUAAACACCAACAUUUAUACCACUAAACUAAAGGAUACUUUGUAUGUUGAUGGUUGAAACUAAUAUAUAUUUAUGAAGGUCAGUUUAAUAAUGUCCCACAAAUAAAUAAAAUGAUUUACAAAUCAAAUCACGUUCUCUAUUAUUUGUUGAUUGAUUUGUGAGCUUAUUUUUUAAACUCGCUAGCCCAUCUAUUACAUCAGCUUAUACAUUUGAUUAAAGCGUCUAUCUUAAUAAACCAUAAAACUGGUCCUAAAAAGCCUGCAAGUCGUCAGCUCUUCGUCUUCGACUGAGACCUAUGGUUUUCCCAAUCAUGCGCCUCCCCUCCAAUACACAGACGCUACUGUCUAAACUUCUCCAAUCAAAUCCAUGGAACUCUUAGUCUCUUUCUAUCUCUUCAUCUCCCCCUCUUUACGCACACCAUCAAAAACGCUAGCGUCUCAUAACUGAUACGAACGGCUUCGCUAUAUAUAGGUCAUGUUAGAUCCAGGAGUCCAACCUCUCAUAUCUACGAACACUUUUUGUUUCAAUUGUUGAGCAUGUCUGUCUCUGAUGCUAUUGCCGUCCUCCCCACCACCUUCAACGCUCUCCGCAUUUGUCGGUCUUCUCAAGUUUGUUGUUGGCCGUCUCCUCAGCUACUGGGAUCCCCGUAACAUCAAUAAAAAUUGUGAAUUUAAAAUUGUUGUCAACUCAGCCUUGUUUAUUUUUUGCCUUGGCUGACUUGACCUAGUCUUACCCUUUUGUAGUUUACAAACUCUUCUCAUAAUAUAUGAAAUUCACAUUUUGGUAAAAAAAAUAAUAAAUAAUAAUAAUAAUAAUAGUAAUAAUAAUGUUCUUGUGUCCUGAACGAUAUUAGGUGGAAAGGGUUUAAAAGUCGGUACAAACCAGUGGAUUGGAUUCGGAUCGGAGCUUGUGUCCUCGACGAUAUUAGGUGGAAAGGAUUCAAAAGGGUUUAAAACAAGGUAAUAAUCUUGUUCAUUCAGUUUGCCAUUUUCUCUUGAGCAAGUGACAACUUUUGAUUUCUGUAUUCUAAUGUACACAGGAAAGGAUAUUGGAAGAGCAUAGGAAAAUGUUGCACAACAGCACAAGGUAUAGUGAAACGGGACCAGAAAAGGAGAAAGAGAAUCUCGAAGCUGCUGGAAUAGAAUCUAAACAAUUUACAUAACUUUACAUGUAUUUGACCACAUUGGAAAAAAAUAUAUUUAAUUGUAGAAAAUAGCUUUUGGUAUAAUGUUAAACGAAGGAUUUUUGAAUUAUAAUUAGUUUAAUUUUUUUUGUUAUUUUAUAUUGAGGUUAUAAUAGGUAUUAUUUAAUCAUAUUAAAAAACAAGAACAAUACUUAAGUCUAAAACUGAAACAGAUGGAGUAAUUAUUAACGUGAUUAAUUUGUAUUAAAUUCUUUUAUAAAUAAAUUAAAUAAUUGUAUUUUUUUGAAAACACAGGUUAAUUUCCAAAUUUAAUAUUAUUAUGCCCUUUCAGUUUCAACUAAUGUUCGUAUUUUUAUAUAAAUAUAUUCUUGUCUUCUUGUUAUAUAGUCGUAUUCAUGUUUGGAAUGAAGACAUUAUUAAGAUUAGCUAAUACAAAAUGCAUAUUAAAAACGAGGAAAGUGAUUUGAAUCCUUAAAAUUGGAAUCAAAGAGUAUGUGUCUUUUUCUCCCCGUGUUUCGUUUCUGACAUUGCCACAUUUGUUGGAAUCUCUGGCAACUUAAUUAUUUUUAUUUUAUUCUGAUUCCACAUGACCUGUAAUCAAAUUAAUUCAGUUGUUUUGCUAGAUCGGGAAAUUAAUAUUUUUGAUCAUGAUAACCAACCGUUCUCCUGCAGUGAACUCCAGCAUUUUUUGGGGGUCAGUUACCGUUUCUGGACUCCGUAUAUUAAUAAGCUAACAGAGUUUGACUACAUUUGAUUUUGUGAACCAAAAUAUUAUUGCGGUUUCUUACGCUUUUUAUUUUCGCUCGUAAAUAUUAGUUUUAAAACAUCUUAUACAUCUUAAAAAAACAUCUUAUUCAUCUUAAACUUUUUUCUCAUUCAUCUUAAACUAAUUAUCUAAUAAAAUGUAGUUCACUAAAAUAUUAAAUAUUUAUGGCUUCAUAUCAAAAAAAUUCAAGUUGUCUUGGAAAUUAGAGAACAUAAAAUAUGCGGACUCAGAUGUGAAAUACGAAUCAUUACUCUGGAUAUGACUUAUUAUAUGCUUGUUUUCGCAGCAAAUUCUGGACUAGGACGUGUAAAUGUAGCGGUAAUCACAAAACCAAAAAAAGGAGUUACAUAAGGUUCUGCAGUAGUGUUUGAAAUCGAGGAAUCACAAAGUUAUCGUAAUAGAGCCGCCUUAUGAAGAAUGAAUCUUAUGUGUACAAUCUUUGCUUGAUAAUGCACAACCUUUAGGUGGAGAAAGGCCUAGAAGCAAUGAUAUAGAUUCUGAUUAUGAGGAGGAUUACGAAUAUGCAUGUUUGGACAGGGGAUUUCAAAACAUUUUUAGGGUUUCCAAAAAAAAGGAAAAUAAUGCACAGAUCCGUUGGUUGAAUAUGUGUGCAACACCCUUGAUAUUUUCCUUUUUAUUUGAGAUCCAAAGGGCUAAAAACAUGCCCUCUCUCAUCAGUAAUGAAUUAAGGACAUUUUCUUAAAUAAAAAAGGAAAUCAGAGUUUUGAAACUAUUAUAAAUAUGGGUGCAAUGGAUUGUAAAUUACUCAUUCACAUAAUCCAUAUACAAAUUCUAAACAGAUAUUUGUUUAUUUUAUUCAGAGUUUUGAAACAGCGUUUUGCAUUCUGAAGUUUUUUUUUUAAUUUUUUCAAAGUUAAUUCGACUUUGUUGUUCAUUCACAACAAACCCUAACUUAGCGAGAAAAAGUCUUCAAUUCUCAUACCCAUCUCUCCGUAGAACCGAACCAUGGGCGAAGACGAGACCAUCGAUUUUGAGUCGUGUAAGAUCUCUCUCCAUCUCUUACCCCUAAAUUAUUUUGUUGGAUUUCAAUUGAUCGAUUAUAGCAAAAUAAUGGUUUUUAUUUUAAUUUUCCGUAGUGAAGCAUACACUGGUGUUCUGGAACAUGGAUGAUUACCCAAUCCCUGUUGAUACUACGGAUGAUCUUGGUCCUGUUUUUGGUGAUAUCUCAAAAGCUCUUGAUCUAAUGGGUUUUCGUCUCGGUUUUAUGGACGUGAGAUUGUACUCUGAGCAACACAACUACGACAAAAAAUUGGCCGAUAUAAUCCGCCCAUCCUUACCCAAAUGUAAGCUCCUCACAACAACACUCUUGUCUUUUGCUUGUCUUUUCUAUUUUAAUCAUUAUUAUGUAAUCGGAGUUGUUUCUCUCUUGUUUAUUAGGUGGUGGUACUUAUUCGGGUUGUGUUUACAAAGUGCCGGAUAUCACUUUGCAUAUGAUUCGUCACGCAUUAUACAUGGGACCAGGACCAGUGAAUUUUUUUGUAAUCGCAAAACCACAAAGGGAGUUAUUCAGGGUUCUGCAGUGUUUGAAAUUGAGGCGUCACAAUGUUCUUCUAGUAAAGCCACCGCCGCCUGAUGAAGAAUGUCUCUUUAGUGUUGACUCUCUGCUUAAUACUGCACGACUUUUAGGUGGAGGAAAGCCUAGAUACAACCCUUUACAACGUUAUACGGAUGAGUUUGAUAGCUCUCUAGAAAAGUAUAUAGAGAUCAAAGAAGAUCUCUCCAAGACGGUAGAUUUCUCCGGUAAGACCCCAAAUUGUUUUUAGAUUUUUCUAUCUUUGAAAAUUUAUUAUAAAAUGGUAUUUUAUUUAACCUCUCUUUAUUGCAUGUAUGUAUGGCUCAGAGCGUAUCCCAACCGUGAAAGGGCCUAGGACAGCCGUCUUCUGGGACGCCGUGGAUUGCCCUUUCCCUCCUUCUUCCACCCCUGAUGAGAUCUACCACUCUAUCUCAUCAGCUCUUGUGGAAAGGGAGUUUAGUGAUAACAUUACAAUCUGGGCCUAUCUUGAUGAUGACGACAAGAAAGGGUCUGCCUUACUGGGUGAUAGGACGUGGGCUUCCAGAAUCUACUUUCUUCCCGGAGGUGAUCAUUUCCCCCUCUUUUUUCUUUAUAUCUAUCUAUCUAUCUAUCUCACUUCCAUUGAUAAAUAUUUAUAUUAUUUUCCAGGGGAUAAAGCCUCUAGACGUAUCAGAAUGUUAAAUGACAUUAAUUUAUGGAUGAGGGACUCUCCGCAGAUGUCCACGAGUUAUGAAGCCAGUUUGGUCCUAUUCUCAGACCAGUUCAAAGAUGACGACGUCUACUACAGAGAUAUGCUUCAACGAUUGGGUAACAUGCGUUACUAUGUUCUCUUAGUCACUCCCGCGCUGGACAUCAACAAACCAGAAACCCCUGAAUGGCCUGGAUUGCUUAUAGAUAGAGGCGCAUACUUUUUUGAUGAAGUAAAAAUCCAAAUCUAUCAAGGACCCGAUGCUGCGGCGGCCGAAGAAGAAACACCUCCGAUUAUGAGUGACAUGGAUUACAGUCUUCUCUCCCCUUUUGGUGAUCAAACAAGCGACAGCUCUGAAGAUGAAGGCAGUCCAUUCUGGCCACCUCGGACUGAUGACAUGCUAGAUGGAGGACAAAGCUCUGCCGAAAAAGAAACACCCGUCUAUCGCUGGGAUCCUUUUACUCUCAUGUACAAACUUGAAAGCCUAUUUCCCAAAGAGCAUGAAGCCGUUACUGCGGCCGAAGAAGAAACACCCAAGAAACUUGCCACGCAUGGCAUUUGUCGCUUGGAUCCUACAAGCUUUGAAUGGCCAGGACGGCAAAUAGAUGGAGGAUUAGGCUGUGAAAGCUAUGAAGAACCUUGUCCCAAAAAGCAUAAG
rnacentral:lncRNA from 1 species